rnacentral:rRNA from 1 species
UACGUAGGGUGCGAGCGUUAAUCGGAAUUACUGGGCGUAAGCGUGCGCAGGCGGUUUUGUAAGCCAGAUGUGAAAUCCCCGGGCUUAACCUGGGAAUGGCAUUUGGGACUGCAAGGCUCGGAGUGCGGCAGAGGAGACUGGAAUUCCUGGUGUAGCAGUGAAAUGCGUAGAUAUCAGGAGGAACACCGAUGGCGGAAAGGCCAGGUCUCGUGGGCUGACAC